AGCAUCAGAUAUUAGGGAGAGAAGGGCACAAAGAGCAAUUUCAUUCUUUUUCUCUCUCCAUCGCCGUUUUGAAGAAGAUCUGAGCUUUGUGUUCCAGAGGCUCAGACACGAUGUCACCUGUAGAGUUGAUAGAAGAUCUUGAUCCAAGGGUGAUUUGUUGAGGAAGAAUUAGUGAAAGUUGUCGACUUCUUUGAUGUUGCCAUGAAAUUAGAAACAACAUUAAAGCUUGAAACUCAAGGUAAGUUUUCACUGUUUGUUGUUUGCAUCACAUUUCGAGAAAAUGCAGCCAUUAAUUUAGCAAUUUGAAGAAGCUGACAACAAAAUGUUGAAGUUGCUAAAUUAGAAUAACAAGCAGGCCGAAUUAUUCUAAAGGAUUAACUUCACAUUCUCCAAUUUUCGAGCCUUGAGGUAUUAUUUUGCAUUCUUUCAAAAACCUUUAAAUGUUGGGUCGAUUGCUUUUGAAAAAAUUUUAGUGCUCCGAUUUGUGUAGAAAAAAGUGUGGAAUCAUCCAUUUAUAAAAAAGUAAUACACGCGUUAACAGGAGAAGUCCCCAAUUAUGGUACCAUUUACAUAACUUUUGGUACAACAAAUAAUCACAGUGUUCGUACAACCCUUGUUGGCUUAUAUAACACUAAUAUUUUUUUGAUUUAUAAAUUGUAAUUGAGCUUAUAGCUGGUCUUUUUCAAUUAUAUUGAUGAUAAUUGUGAUUAAGCAAGCUAUUGGUUGAUUGUAUAGUGUUAGAGUGAGUUAGGAUUCUGCAAACGAUCUCCAGUUAAAGGAUUUUUUUUGUUUAUUCAUUUUUACCAAUUUUGGUACUUCAAAGUUGAAUGACUAUAGCUGGUUCAUUAUUAAGACCUUCUUCCACUAGCCUGACAGAGUUACCUGAAUUCUCUUCUACGGAUGGGAGGUGGUAGAUAUCCCGUGGAUUUUGUCGAGAUGCGCAAAAGCUAACGUGGACACCACUGUCAUCAAAACGAAAAAGAGCUUGCUUCUACUAUUGUUUUUUUUGUCAAAGCUUGCUUCCACUAUUGUCCAAGGGAUUCGAAGCACCCCUUUUUGUGGCUCAGUUGUAGAUGAUUUUUUUGGUGUUUUAUUGCUGUUAUAAUUGGCUUGGUUUUGGUUUGUCGUGUUAUUAUUAGUAGAAACCAAACUUGAUUUUA